rnacentral:rRNA from 1 species
UACAGAGGUCUCAAGCGUUGUUCGGAUUCAUUGGGCGUAAAGGGUGCGUAGGUGGCGCCGUAAGUCAGGUGUGAAAUUUCGAGGCUUAACCUCGAAACUGCAUUUGAUACUGCGGUGCUUGAGGACUGGAGAGGAGACUGGAAUUCAUGGUGUAGCAGUGAAAUGUGUAGAGAUCGGGAGGAACACCGGUGGCGAAGGCGGGUCUCUGGGCAUUUCCUGACGCUGAGGCGCGAAAGCGUGGGGAGCAAACGGG